AUUUACUAUGCACACAAACAUUUACCUAAUUUUUCUUUCAAUAAGAAACCUUAUCCGUUGCGCUGGUGCCUGAUUUUCUGACUGCAAAGUCUCUUCAAAGUCUCCUUUGCAAUUUCUCUGAAGUCUAAACCUCCCUUUGUCUUUUCAUGGAUGAGAGAAUAACAGUGGCUAUAUGAAACGGAGCGGCGAUCUCAAAUACUCGCCAUACUCUGUUUUUCAGCUCCACUUGUUCCAGCAAGCACUUCUGAGACAUCAAAGCGAGUUGGCCAAGACUGAGAAGCAAGUCGUACUCAGGAAGCUGCCCCCCAGGGUGACUUUGCAGGCUUUGCCUUUCCGACCUCUACAGCAGGUGGCUCGGUUCUGUGCAGCACCAGCUCCUCUCACCCUCCUGAAAAAAGAAGAGAGAAGUAGCUUUUGCACUAUUGUCUGGCAUCAUCUACCUGGAACCAACAGGGUCCACAUUCAGACCACGAAGAAGAGAGACCUCCAGGUGAGAAUUCGUAAUGGACCUGCCCUUCUCAGCCCCGAGAAUAGGAGACUUUCCUUCUUGAAGAGUGUUUAAAUGGGGAAAACAAUGAAACACAAUUUUUUAAUGAAAAUAAACAUUAAAUGACAAGGUGAAUAUUACCAUUCCAGCUAGUGGCUCUUCAUCUACUUUUCCUGAGAGACGACUAUGAGGACUAUACCCCAAAUAACACUCAAGUGAUACAUAACUUUCAGCUCCAGGAGUAAAGGUACUGUCAGUCUCUUGUGUUCCUACUGAUCAGCUCAGCAUCUGGAUCAUAUGUACCACAUGUAAGAUGACCAUUUUCUAUCUUCUUAACUACAUUGCAAAAGAUGCUGGCGAUUCAUGUGAUCUUAACAGGUAUUCUACAGUUCAGUAUUGUAGGAAGUCGUUCAUUUUUAUUCUUAUCUCUUUGGGUUCCACAUUCCUAUUUACUUGUUAAAGAGUGAGUAUUCCUGGGGGAAAGUUGUUCUAUCUUAGAUUUUCAAAACUAACUGUGAUGAAAUGAUUUUAUGUUUUAAAAAAACAUGUUUGAGUGUUUUGAGAACUACUGGUAUCUUGUGGAACACAACAAAGAAAAUUGUGGCAUAGGCAAUUAUAAAUACAAUAGAUUUACCCUCUUGAAAUAUAAAAGGAGUGCUGUUUACCUGAUUUUUGUAUGGAAAAGAGUAUUUGAAAACUGUAACACUAAAUACUAUGGGAAAAUACCAGUAUCACUCAAUAUUUGUGGGAGGUCAAAAUGUCGCACACUUAUUUUAUAGGGAGAUUUUGCAGUGCUAUUAACAUCUAAAAUACAUUGCACCCACUAACCAUUACCACUGACUCAGUAACUCCAACUCUAGAAUUUAGCCCACAGGUAUAUUGACACACAUACAAAACAACAAAAGUACACAUAAACAUUGCAGCAUUGGUUGUAAUACGUUCAGAUUAAAAUGUCAAUGAGUGUAAACAUUCAUUGGUAGGGCGCUGUUGUAUAAAUUAUUGCAUACGCACACUAAAGUGAAAAAGCUGGAG
rnacentral:lncRNA from 1 species